UCUAGGACUGAGCAAAAUGGCUACAAGGACAAGAUAAAAGCAGCCCUACAAGGCCCUUGGGAGGAGUCAGAUCAUUCAUCUGAGAAUUCCAUCUUCAAAGUAAAAGAUACAGGGGAAGUCACUUGAGAAACCGACUAAAGAUGAUUCCAAGCCCGAGUGUCAUCAGCAGAUAACUCACUGAUAUUGAUCUCUUCUUCAUCGUAAACAUCCACUUCCGUCAGCCGGAUGAGCAUUCUGGACAAAAUGCUGAGGAAUUGCAGAUUUUAACUGGCCACAUGGUUUAAGCCAUUAGAAGUAGGACUCCAACAGGAGCUGAACAAAGGUUGCUUCAAAAAAGAAUGAACUGACAUUUCAAUAAUAUCUUAAGAGUCUUGCGUAAGUGCAAAUUGCUAUCUUAUAUUAACUGAUAUGGCUGUAGGAAGACAACAAAAUUCACUGUGCGGGACAUAAAAGGCUGGCAUCACAUUUCUCUCCUCCUAAGGCCAGGAAAAGAAAUAAAAUGAUUUUUCUCUU